rnacentral:ncRNA from 1 species
GUACCAAAUAAUUAAUGCUCUGUAAUCAUUUAAAAGUAUUUUGAACGGACCUCUGUUUGACACGUCUGAAUAACUAAAAAACAAAAAUUUGCCACCUAAGUGGCUUUUUUU